GGGCGCUGUUCGGUGAACACUGGUCGUCGUGGAGUGCCGUUUAACAAUGAUUCCGUGUCUCAAAUUUCCGUGUUUAUAUUAGUAAUCUCGGCGAUUUUAAUGUUCUUCUGUGAUCUUGGGUUAGCAAUUUGCCGUCAAGAUGCUGUCCUGGAUUGGAGUGGAGGGCUGGUGAUGGCGAAUCGUAAUCCCCUGCGAGCCCUCAGGGUGAGUUCUCAGGGCCAGCCACUACCACCAGCAGCCAGCACUACCAUCACCAAUGAUGAUUUCCAGUCGUCUCGUCCGAUUUCUCGUGUUUACCUUUUUCUCCUCCUCCUGUUCGUAUAUUUCAGCAUCUUCAUCAGUCACUAUAGAUGCCUGCUGGCUUUUUUUUUUUUCUUAGGCGGUUAUGCCUUCUGUGCAUUUUGUAGGUAUAUGUAAUACACAUACGUACGUACA